rnacentral:rRNA from 1 species
CUUUACUGUAGCUUUGCAUUGGACUUUGAACCGGUCUGUGUAGGAUAGGUGGGAGGCUGUGAAACCGGGACGCUAGUUUCGGUGGAGCCAACCUUGAAAUACCACCCUGGUUUGUUUGAGGUUCUAACCUUGAUCCGUGAAUCCGGAUCGGGGACCGUGCAUGGUAGGCAGUUUGACUGGGGCGGUCUCCUCCCAAAAGGUAACGGAGGAGUACGAAGGUACGCUUAGGGCGGUCGGACAUCGCCCAUAAAGUGCAAUGGCAAAAGCGUGCUUGACUGCGAGACCCACAAGUCGAGCAGGUGCGAAAGCAGGUCAUAGUGAUCCGGUGGUUCUGUAUGGAAGGGCCAUCGCUCAACGGAUAAAAGGUA